GACAGGGUUACAGAUGGUUUUCAUGUCGGUGAGAACAAUGUUUCUGUAGCUGCGCUCCAGUCCCUCCAUGAACUCCAGGUAGUUGCUGACCUUGAAGCCCUGGAUUGGCUCCUCCUGCAGAGAGAGACAGAGCAGAAGAGGAAAGAUUAGGCCAUCGGAUGCAAACCAGCAGUCAAACUUUCAACAGUUCAGCUCAGGACGAGGAUUAUCAUACCUGGGAUGGGGUGAAACCAGACAUCCUGAAGGCGGAGUGGACCAGAGGAACUUCAGCUUUCAGCAGCAUCUCCACAUAGUGAGCUGUACACCAGUAAACAGGAGGGAUUCCCGAUUCAGCUACUCCCACGGGAACAUGGAUCUAUCACGACAAACACAAGGUGGUUUAAAUUUUCAUGCCUAAGGAUGUAUGGAUGGCCAAGUUCCCAUCUACCACAGCAAAGGCCCAGACUGGGGCCACAACAGAAAUAGCAAUGACAAGGACUGCUAUUCAAAAAGGUACAGUACAUCCUCCAUCUUAAUUAAAAAAAUUUGAGGAUGAAAAAAAAUUCUGCCAAAAAAGUUAACUAUCACACCUCAGACUGUCAGGUUCAGUAACAGUACAUCCUGCAUCUGAACUCUGAGCACGGGAGCCCCUAAAGGGUCUGAGAUGAGCCCCCUUCUUUAGUCCCUCAUCAACACGAUCAUCAAGUUUGUGGAUGACACCACAGUACUGGGUUAAUGGGUUUGAUCACCAACAAUCAGACGGCCUACAGGGAGGAGGUUAAGCACCUUGGAGCUCUGAUAAUGUUGCACCCAACAUCAGCAAGAACAAAGAAGCUUAUUGUGGACUUCAGGAAGUCUAAAAACAGCAGACACACCCCCAUCUACAUAAAUUACAUCCAGGUGGAAGUCUCCAGGUUUUAUAUCCUAGGUGUCCACAUCUCUGAGGACCUCGCAUGGUCCUCUGUGGUUAAAAAGGUGCAGCAAGUUCUUGGUCAACUUCUUCCACAGCAUGACAGAGAGCUUUCUAACAAACUACAUUACAGUAACAUCAUUAAAGUCCAGGUACCAUCCAUUCAUAGAGACUACCAGUGGUGGAAGAAAUACUCAGAACAUUUACUUAAGUAAAAGUAACAAUACAACAAAGUAAACGUCCUGCAUUUAAAAACCUUCUUAAGGAAAAGUACAGAAGUAAUAUCACCGAAAUGUACUUAAAUUAUUAAAAGUAAAAGUAGCGGAGUAGAAGUAUAAAGUUGCACGAAGUGGAAAUACUCAAGUAGAGUACAAGUAUCCCAAAAUUGUACCCAAGUACAACCUUUUGAACACUGUCUUCCAGGAGGCGCUACAGGCCAAGUACAUCCAGACACAGCUUUUUCAUAAGGCUGUUGUUUAACUGAACUCAGCUAGCCACUAACUGCUUCCUGCAUGCAAUCUAUAUGUACAGUCUUUUUAUAUAUCACAGUACGUAAAUGAUUCUGCCUCUUUAAAAUAUCCUGCAUGUCUGUAUGUACAGUAUGUUAACACCCAAUUAUCCUGCCUUUUGGAACUGUGGAUCUUUGGAUCUGUCACUGUUAAAUAUUCUAUACAUUUUUAAUUACAACUGUCUUUUUCUUCAGUUUUUCAGUUAUCUUGGAAUGACUCCUUGUAUGCAAGUAUACUGACAACGUUUAAUUGAAUUGAAAUGACUUCUGUUUUUCCAGGUAUGGCUAAAUACAGAAGAGAAGAGGGUUUAAACCAAAGGUAGAAUGUGGUGAGAAAAUCUAUUUAAAUGAGGAUUCAUUUGAGAAAGCGUAGAUCUCCUUCUGUGCUAUUAAGAUGUAACCGUCGCAUAAAAGGUGCUUUCUCUUUGUUUCCAGCCAACCAAUUUCAACGGUCAGCUGAAAUAAAUGAGAUUAGUGGACAGCUGCCCUCAGGAGUUAGGGCCAUGAAGGGUGAGGAGAUACAACUCAGAACAUUGAACUGACAGAGGUUAAUACUUGGCAAAUGAGUCUGCUCUUUCCAUACAAUGGGAGCACUCAAGUAGGGCAGAGUGGCUGAAACUGUAGUCAGUGUCAAUCAAACACUAAGCGCUGCCUAGCACCCGUUUCCCUGCGCCGCACACACUUAUAUACAAAUGUAACUGGCAGAUUGCAGAAUUCAACAAGAGUCAUGACAGCUGCCUGGUCUCCUCAGAGGCUAUUUGGUGGGAGGAAUAUUAGAGGGGGAAAUGAAAUAGCAGUCUGUGUGUUUGUGUGAAUAUGAAAUAGAAAGAACCAGAGAACCUUCAUUUUAAAGCAUUGAAGAGAUUCAGAGACGUAGGAUAAUAUAGCGACUUCAUAUUGUAACUGAUUCUUGGUAUAAUGCUGGAGCAGUGGGUCCAAAACUGUUUUCAGAACUUUCCCAGAACUAGUGAUGUAUAGCUAUUAUGAUACAUGUGAAUUGCAGUGCAUUACAUCUGAAGUCCAUUAAA